UGGGGAAUCUUGGACAAUGGGGGCAACCCUGAUCCAGCAAUGCCGCGUGUGUGAAGAAGGCCUUCGGGUUGUAAAGCACUUUCAGUGGGGAGGAAAGACUCAAAGCGAAUAUCUUUGAGUUUUGACGUUACCCACAGAAGAAGCACUGGCUAACUCUGUGCCAGCAGCCGCGGUAAUACAGAGAGUGCGAGCGUUAAUCGGAAUUAUUGGGCGUAAAGCGCGCGUAGGUGGGUAUUUAAGUCGAAUGUGAAAGCCCUGGGCUUAACCUGGGAAUUGCAUCCGAUACUGGAUAUCUUGAGUAUGGUAGAGGGAAGUGGAAUUUCCGGUGUAGCGGUGAAAUGCGUAGAUAUCGGAAAGAACAUCAGUGGCGAAGGCGGCUUUCUAGACCAAUACUGACACUGAGGCGCGAAAGCGUGGGGAGCAAACAGG
rnacentral:rRNA from 1 species